rnacentral:rRNA from 1 species
CCUACGGGAGGCAGCAGUGAGGAAUAUUGGUCAAUGGGCGCGAGCCUGAUCCAGCAAAGUAGCGUGAAGGAAGACUGCCCUCCGGGUUGUAAACUUCUUUUAUAAAGGCGUAAGGUGAGGCGCGUGUGCCUUUUUGUGUGUACUUUAUGUAUAAGGAUCGGCUAACUCCGUGCCAGCAGCCGCGGUAAUACGGAGGAUCCGAGCGUUAUCCGGAUUUAUUGGGUUUAAAGGGAGCGUAGAUGGGUUGGUAAGUCAGUUGUGAAGGUUUGCGGCUCAACCGUAAAAGUGCAAGUGAUACUGGCAGGAUUGAGUACAGGUGAGGUAGGCGGAAUGCGUGGUGUAGCGGUGAAAUGCGUAGAUAGCACGAAGAACGCCGAUUGCGAAGGCAGCUUACUAAACUGCCACUGACAUUGAUGCUCGAAAGUGUGGGUAUCAAACAGGAUUAGAUACCCCAGUAGUC